AAGACUACUUUCAGGUAUCAUUGUAUAGUUUGUUACUAGAGAAGUUUCUCUGAUCAUGAAAAACACCUGAAACCACGAUGAGGAGCCAGAUCAUCCUCUCCUGAGCAAGAAGCCAUUUCUAGGUGCUACUUUUGCAACCGCCGUUUACUAUUGAUGAUCGUUCUUCUCUUUCUUUGGAAGAAGGGGAGAGAGAGAGAGAGAGAG